GACUAUGCCUGCGCCAUCCAUUUUUAAAAUGACAAUAGAAUCUUCUUGUAUCUUUCGGGAUGAUAAUCAAUGCGGACGGACAGGAAAUUGUUGGAUCUAUAACAAGACAAGAAUGAUCUACACAUUUGUAGGAAUGUGUUCUAUUUGCAAAAUCUGCUCGAUCUUCGUCACUGCUAUUGCUUUAUAUAGAUAUAAUCGGUUUACAAAGGAAAGUGUUGACAUCCUGCCUCUACCUGUGAAGAACUUGAAAAUUCAAAAAAAGGACAAAACGGAUUUAUAACUGGAUCAUCAUCGUGUAAGAACAGGAUUUCAGACCACCUGAGGAUCGAGGUAUGAAAACAGAAGUCUCUCCUUCACAACUUCUACAAGAUUGGUUGUUGUGCCUUACUCUCAGAAGAGGACAAUCACACAUGAUGUUUACUUAACAGA